GGACAGUUGGCAGAGCGGUCUAUUGCCCCGGUCUCGAAAACCGAGUGGCCGGGUGAACCCCGGCACGAGCGUUCGAAUCGCUCACUGUCCGCCA
rnacentral:tRNA from 1 species